GACGUAGGGCGCGAGCGUUGUCCGGAUUUAUUGGGCGUAAAGAGCUCGUAGGCGGCUUGUCGCGUCGAAUGUGAAAACUCGGGGCUCAACUCCGAGCUUGCAUUCGAUACGGGCAGGCUAGAGUUCGGUAGGGGAGACUGGAAUUCCUGGUGUAGCGGUGAAAUGCGCAGAUAUCAGGAGGAACACCGAUGGCGAAGGCAGAUCUCUGGGCCGUAACUGACGCUGAGGAGCGAAAGCAUGGGGAGCGAACAGG
rnacentral:rRNA from 1 species